AAAUAUCUUUUACCUCUACUCGCAAAUUCGGAGUUUAAACAACUAAUAUAUAGUUUUUAUAGUAAAAAUCAAUUUACUAUAUUAUUUCUUUACUUUAAAUAACUUUUACUUCAGUUUGUCCGUUCAUGAGUCAACACUGACUAUUGCCUCAUAUAUAAACAUUUUAUCUCACUAGCACAUUCGCUUUAUUUUUCAUUUUACGAUUAUUCGCAUUUUUGCUUCGUUACGUAAAUCUCAGCUCAAAAACUUCAUUUUGAGCACCGUAAACCUCAAAAUAUCAUUUUUAUUAUUAAUACAAUAUUUCAAAAGUUUUACAUUCUUUGUUGCACCACAAAAUAAUUUUUAUAGGCAACUAUAUAUAUAUAUAUAUA
rnacentral:lncRNA from 1 species